CUCCUAACGUGUGAACUUUUUUUUUUGUUACAGAGGUCCUAUGCCAUCGUGGCAUAAGAGGUGAGUGGCCUCUUUUCUUGAAGCCUCCUAUUUACUAGCUUAUUGAAAGCCUGGUCCACUAUUUACAUCACUGGAUGCUUAACUGCUCUCUAUCAGUCUCCUCUAUGAUUCAAAAAUGUUUCCAUAAAGACAUCUUCCAUAUUUCAGAAACAGCCUCAAGUCCUUAUACUUUGUUAUCUUUAUUUUCUAAACCACUGGAAAUUUUGCCAUUAAUGGCUUCAAAGGAUGGAGAGGUUACUUAUUUCAUUUGCAUGAUGAUAUUAAUUCCAUCUCUUGUAAUAUGAGUAGUAUUCUGUUUUUCUUUUACCCAGUGUAAUUUGAUUUGGUAUGGUUUCUUUUUCCCCUUAUAAUUUCAAAUAUAUUGAAUGUUUUUAUUUAAUUCUGGUUACAUGCAUGGGAUUCUGGCUACAUGAGCUGGAUAUUGUCUGUGUACGGAGUUAUUUGGAGCAGACAAAAUGAGUGAAAAGACAAACUUAUGAUAUCACUAUAGACAAAGGUCUACAGUGCCAAAUAGUCUAGAAAAGUAAGAAACAAAUACCUCCAAAUUUCUAUAAAAGAGAGAAAAUAAUCACAUCUGAGAGGGAAUAGAUACUAAAUACAAUGGAUUAAAAAAAAAGAGGAAAAAUUAGUUCAUUAAAGAGGUAAAAAAACCCGCUACAUAUUACUAAGUGAUAAAGAUGGUUAUUAUGCACAAGGUUAUUAAAUUCAUUAAUGGUAUUUUCAGUGGUACAGCAGAUACAUCCAUUUGCUUUCAUGGGUGCAAAUUCUCUUUGCAGAAAUGAGACUGUGUUUGCUGUAAUAUAGCUCUUGCUUGCAGGCCUGCAGUUGAAACCUCACAAGUUACUUUCUCCAGUGGUUAGGUGCUUUUCUAUGGAGAAUGAGACUCCAGUUUUUUGCCCUUCGCUGGGGCCUGAAGAGGUUGGAGAUUUUUGUGAAGGAAACUACCAAAGAGCAGCCAAUCUGUUUCCCUUCAUAAAUCUCAAAGGCUUGACAGAUGGGCCGAAAGCACUGCAGACGUUUGAACAAGGAAAUAGAGAGGGAGCCUGCUGGAAGCAGGGCUUCACGCAGCCAGCCGCGGAUGAUGAAUAGAGUGUGAUUGUGUCUGACAGGUAGUAAUAUAACUAUUCAUUCACCACAGAACACCUGGAGCACACUAUAUUAAAUGGUACAAGAUGGAGAGAUUCUGUGACAGGAAUGGGAAGUGUGAAUCCCAUGCUGAGUUUAGGUACAGCAAUAUAAAAGGUCAGGGGUCGUGCAAUAUAAACUCCCUGAGAAAAGGAUGUAAUUAAAUUAUUUGCUUACUAAAGUCUUUCUAAUGUUUUGCUAACAUGUUGCCAGGAUCAUUAUUUCAGCAUGUCUGCGCAGCUGAGAGGAAAAUAGCAAAUGGUGCUUGCUGACUACUGUGCUCCCGCUCUGUGUUCAGAGGCUUGCUAAUCUAAGUGCCAUCAUUGUUGCACUAAGCUGCAUUGCAGGGUGGGGAUGGUGAGGGGCAGAAAAGCCCAAUUGUGGCCACAGACCUAGAAGCUGUGUGCUGUGUUUUGUCUUAUAUUUUGAAGCUUGUAGUUGACCUUAUUUUAGGGCAUUUGUGGUCAAAAAUCUGCUAUGUUCAGUAGGCUCAUGGAGAAUUAAAGGAUACUGCAGUUGUGGAUAAUUUGGGCUGUGGAGCUUUGCAGCAUGACAUAUCUGUUUUGUCAGAGCUGAAAGAACCUGCCAUUUCCCCCCUGCUAUGACAGAACUGUAAUUCAAAUCCAGAGACACUUCAUUUUGCUAAUAUUUGUUUUGUUCUGUUUUGAGAAGCCGAUAGGGCUUAAAGUCUAGAAUUGUUCCUUGUAUAUUUAAAAUGAGGGCCUGAGAUUGGGUCCAAUGUUAGCAUGAGUUGGAACCAAGCUGCAAGGAGUUGACUUACUACAUUACUGAAAAUCUUCCACACAGGAGCUACUGAACGCUUUUGGAACACUUAACUUUUUUUGGAAGAAACCUGAGAUAGAGACAUUUUGGAAGAUUUCAGUGAGCAGUUGCAUGUGAGAAUACGUGCUACUGAUAAAUAACAUCCAAAAGGAAAUCUUGCUGGCAGUCAUAUGCCAAUGAAUAUUUUUACCACAAUUCAUGUCGUUCUAGGCAGGAUGUUAACCAAUUUGUUUUUGUAUGCUUGUCACAGAUAACUCUUAAAAUAUGAUGACAAAGUACAGUGUCCUUCUGAAAAUACAGACAGCUAAUGCACUUAUAGUCCCUUCUCCUGAGUGUGCAAAUGAGGGGUUUACUUCAAGCAUAGGUGAUAGAACAGAAAAAAAGACAAACAAGCUGGCAGGUUUACUUAUUUAUUUAUUAUUUCUUUACAGGGAAUACAGCACAUUGUGUAGCUAGAAAUGUUACUUGUGUCAUGUGUGUUACAGACAAAUAAUGAAUAGAAAAGUUUACAUUUAAAAAGUAUUACUUUUGUCAAAAUUUCAGUGUCUAGAGAAGGUAUUGAUAAUUUUUUGUAAAUUCAAAAGCAUCAAAAGGGUAGGCUACCUAAAACCACUCUGCUUUUUGCCAUUUGAAACAUGUAUUUUUACGUUAGGAGAGAUAUAAUCUAAUUUUAUGCCUCAAAAUCCAUACAUUAUUUGACAUUGUAUAAAUAAAUUGUUUCACAUUAAAAAUAUACGUUUUCA
rnacentral:lncRNA from 1 species